AAACUAAUUUAGUUUGACGGCAUUUCCUCUAAUUAGAGGAAUUUGUCUUUUAAUCGACAACCCGCGGUAAUUUUCACUUUAUUUUAAAAUUUACAUACCGCCAUCUUAAGAAUCAAUUUAAAAAUAUUCUCUAAAAAAAAAAUAAAAAGUUAGGUCAAGGUAUAAUCUACACUAAAGAAUUAGAUGAAUUACAUUAAAAACAAUUUAAAAAUUAUAAAUAAAUAUAAUUAUAUGAAUAAGGAUUUAAAAGUAAUAUUAAAAUAAUAUUAAAAUAUGAUAUAGACAAUAAAUGUGUACACAUCGCCC
rnacentral:rRNA from 1 species